GACGAACGCUGGCGGCGUGCUUAACACAUGCAAGUCGAACGGAAAGGCUCCAGCUUGCUGGAGUACUCGAGUGGCGAACGGGUGAGUAACACGUGGGUAAUCUGCCCUGCACUCUGGGAUAAGCCUGGGAAACUGGGUCUAAUACUGGAUAUGACCUUUCUCCUUAUGGGGUUUGGUGGAAAGUUUUUCGGUGUAGGAUGAGCCCGCGGCCUAUCAGCUUGUUGGUGGGGUGAUGGCCUACCAAGGCGACGACGGGUAGCCGGCCUGAGAGGGUGAUCGGCCACAUUGGGACUGAGAUACGGCCCAGAAUCCUACGGGAGGCAGCAGUGGGGAAUAUUGCACAAUGGGAGGAAGCCUGAUGCAGCGACGCCGCGUGAGGGAUGACGGCCUUCGGGUUGUAAACCUCUUUCAGCAGGGACGAAGCGUAAGUGACGGUACCUGCAGAAGAAGCACCGGCUAACUAUGUG
rnacentral:rRNA from 1 species